GGGGGGGGGGGGGGGGGGGGGGGGGGGGGGCGGGGCGGGCGGGCGUGGGCGGAUGUGGGCGGCGGGCGGGUGAGUACCGGGUGGGGACGUGCCCUUUGCUUCGGGAUAGCCUCGGGGAACUGGGGGUAAUGCCGGAUGUACCCUGUGGGGGAAAGAUUUAUCGGCAAAGGCUCGGCCCGCGUUGGAUUAGGUAGUUGGUGGGGUAAUGGCCUACCAAGCCGACGAUCCAUAGCUGGUUUGAGAGGAUGAUCAGCCACACUGGGACUGAGACACGGCCCAGACUCCUACGGGAGGCAGCAGUGGGGAAUCUUAGACAAUGGGGGAAACCCUGAUCUAGCCAUGCCGCGUGAGCGAUGAAGGCCUUAGGGUUGUAAAGCUCUUUCACCGGGGAAGAUAAUGACGGUACCCGGAGAAGAAGCCCCGGCUAACUCCGUG
rnacentral:rRNA from 1 species